GGGCAGUGAUAACAAAAAGGCCAGACUUAUAGCUGUUGCCAUUUGGUCGGUAGUAGAUUGAUGAAAUUUUAGGUGAGGUAUUUUUCUGAGCCAG
rnacentral:snoRNA from 1 species